GGAUCAUCUGCUGUGGGUGUUCCUGAUCUUUGAGCCAUGAUAAUGUUACUGGUUGGAUGUCAGGAGCAGGCCAUGUGGAUGAUUAAAAGAUGAAUAUCAUAUACAGCAUGGAUAUGUUGGACAAAAAGAUGAUUCACAUCCCAGACAGAAUGGAGCAGCACAUUUAUUAAAAGCCAGAAGCUAGAAGACGAGGAAAGAAGAGGUGGUUAAAGAAAGAUACAGUAACAGCAGUAAUAUCUAACAGGAAGGCUACAGGGGAAAAUACAGAAAUUCCAUAAAGAACAAACACUGUAACUCAAAACCAAAGCUUUGCUAGUCACUAGUGCCCGCUACAUCCUAACAGAUGCAGCUGGAGAGCCUGGGGUGAGAACAUGAGCAGUCUAUAAUCAGAAAAUCCCUUUGGGAUAAAUUGACAAAAAUAUAAACCACUCCACAAAGGAGAAAUUGUAAAUGAUGGCAUGAAUCCAACAGUGAAGAAAUCAGAAUACGUUGCUUUUGUGAGGGGCAGCUGCUGAUUUUCUCUGAGCUCCGUUUCCAGCCUUCACAUGCUCUGCUAUUCAUCACAGGGUAAAUUCUGACUAUAGGAGGUACUGACAGAAGAUUAGGGAAGAACAGAGGGCUAAAUGUUUAUUGACUUCUUGAAAAAUGCUAUGUGUCUUGCCAGACUUAGCUUACAAGUUUGGUUAAAGAGAGACUGACAUGAGCAUAAAGGAAGGGACAUUGAAAGAGGCAGAGAUGAAGGAAGAAAUUGUAACUUACUCCUUUUAUCCCACCCAUCAAAGGAAAGACAAGUUGACAUUCCCAGGGUGGAUGGAUCCAGGCAGGACAGGAUCAGAAGUUGCAGUCUUAAUUGCACCAACUCACGCAUGUCACCAGCCGAGUAGUAUUGAUUCUGCAACAAACUGAGAAGAAACCUGGCGAUUCACAACAGAGAGCUGAGAAAUCCUAAGUCUGGAUUCCAGCUAAAUGGGAGCAGACUAAAUAGAGCGGCAGUCGGCGAACUACAUGUAGCCCAUGAACAAAAUCCGGUCCAGCACGUGUGUUUUUUUUUACGGCCCACAAAUGAGUCUGUCUUUACAGAUGAAUGUUAAAACUGGGUUGACAAGAGAGAACACUCACUUUGAACCGCAACUAAACAAAAUAUUAUCACCUUUCCCCUCAAAAAAGGUUUUUGUUCUUCUCAUUAGUAAAUUUGUAUUAUGACAAAA
ensembl:lncRNA LINC02492 long intergenic non-protein coding RNA 2492